rnacentral:rRNA from 1 species
UACGAAGGGGGCUAGCGUUGUUCGGAAUUACUGGGCGUAAAGCGUGCGCAGGCGGCUUCUCAAGUCAGGGGUGAAAGCCCAGAGCUUAACUCUGGAAUUGCCUUUGAGACUGAGAGGCUUGAGUACGGGAGAGGUGAGUGGAAUUCCCAGUGUAGAGGUGAAAUUCGUAGAUAUUGGGAAGAACACCGGUGGCGAAGGCGGCUCUCUGGACCGAUACUGACGCUGAGGCGCGAAGGCGUGGGGAGCAAACAGG